rnacentral:lncRNA from 1 species
CCUCCAGUCAGUCAGACCAGAGGUAGGCCCCAGUCAUAUAGGCAGCUAGCAACACAUUCAAGUCAGUCUACCAACACAGUCUUUUUAGGCAGCGACCCCCCAAGUCAAUUCAGCCAGAGGCAAGCGAUAGCGAAGGACUUCCUCAAAUAAAGUCCGUUUUAUAUAGUUUUUGAAAAGAACAGCAACUCUUGUAAUGCGCCUUGCGACGUAAAGAGCAAAUCAAAACCACACGGAGAAGCCAAUCACUAAGCAGAAGGUCACCAAGAUAGGUGAAGGUUUGCAACCUGGCUUGACUUGAGCUUGUUAUCUUGUCCUAAUACACCUGCAGCGCG